rnacentral:snRNA from 1 species
AUCUCUUUGAAUAACCCUGUAAGUGUAGUAUGUGUUCUUAUCAGUUUAAUAUCUGAUUCGCCCCCUAUCUGGGGGCCAUAUAUUAAAUGGAUUUUUAGAACAGGGAGAUGGAAGAAGAGCUUGCUCUGUCCACUUCACAUAUUGACCUGGUAUUACCUCCAGGACCGGUGCACAAAAA